UGCAUCGAACGAUUCUAGAAAGCAAAUAAUAACGUUGAUUGCUUUGCAUCUUGCUUUGUCCUAAAAACUGUCCGCCAAGUUGCAGGUGCUCUCUCAUAGGCCUUUGAUUCUUAUUCACAGAUUUUUGACGGCCAUAAUGGCAAAGAUGCUGCUCAAUAUGUCUGUGAUAACUUGCCAUGGGUCAUCAUGGAAGAUGAUGAUUUAUCUCUUGAGCUUAAAAAGGGUACUCCAUGUGUGGAAGAGUUCACCCCAAAAAAUUGUGAAAUGUUAUGCAACAAUACGAAGCUUGAUCUUGCUACUGUCGAGACCGAUGUUGAUGAGAAAGUCGAAGAUAAGGUAUGUUCUUAUGUGGAUCAACUUCUUGCAGCUAUGCGAGCCAAAGAUUCUACCAUGCACGUAUGUCGCCGCCGCGAGGGUCAUGUGCUAGCAGAUAUAAAUCUAUACAAAAGGUAAUGCUAUAUGUGGAUAUGAAAGUCAAUGGUGUACAUUUGAAGGGAUACAAAAAUAAUUUCAUGUAUUAUCCAACAUCUUGCUCUUGCAUAUAACUACACCUUUACAUAUUGUCCGUGCGGCAAACAAAUAUAUUUUGUUGUUCAUAACCUUUUCCUCUCUAGCUCCUAGCCUAUAAUAGUUUUCUUACAGGUGUACUUUUGGAGUCUUCCAAGUUGUGCUGGGAACUAGGCAUACAGGAAAAGGAAGGAGCCUGAUGUAGAGAAGCAAAAGGAACCAAUUCUAGAGCAUGUCACAGUGUUACUUGCCAGUCAUUAUCACCUAAAAUUUACAACUCGCGAUGUGUUUCUUCCCUUUGAUUUAUUUGUAAGCAGGAAGCAUCUUUGUUGAAUACAACAAAUCAAGCUUGUGGGCUUUAUAAUGAAGCUGAGGUUUAGGAAAAGAUACAAUUUCUUAUUUGAUGAAGACUUUCCUGCUGAAAAAUAAAGACUCCAAAAAAUGAUUAAGAAAUCUAAGGACCUAGAUGCCAUUGGAGAAAUGAAGAGUCGUGUCACAUGGAUUGAUAAGCAGUUGAAGUCUCAUCCUCCAAAGAACGUUGAAUCGGAAAUCUUGCGUGAGCAUAUCAAGAAAGAGAGGGAGGCAGCAAAGGCUGGAAAACGACCAUACUAUCUGAAGAAACCUGAACUUCGCGAAAGGAAGCUGAUGAACAAGUACAAUGAGCUCAAGGAGGCAGGAAAGCUUGAUGCAUUCAUGGAAAAGCGGCGGAGGAAGAAUGCCUCCAAAGAUCAUCGGUUCAUGCUGUACCGA